AACGAACGCUGGCGGCAUGCCUAACACAUGCAAGUCGAACGAGACCUUCGGGUCUAGUGGCGCACGGGUGCGUAACGCGUGGGAACCUGCCCUUAGGUUCGGAAUAACUCCCCGAAAGGGGUGCUAAUACCGGAUAAUGUCUUCGGACCAAAGAUUUAUCGCCUUUGGAUGGGCCCGCGUUGGAUUAGCUAGUUGGUAGGGUAAAAGCCUACCAAGGCGACGAUCCAUAGCUGGUCUGAGAGGAUGAUCAGCCACACUGGGACUGAGACACGGCCCAGACUCCUACGGGAGGGAGCAGUGGGGAAUAGUGGACAAUGGGCGAAAGCCUGAUGCAGCAAUGCCGCGUGAGUGAUGAAGGCCUUAGGGUUGUAAAGCUCUUUUACCCGGGAUGAUAAUGACAGUACCGGGAGAAUAAGCUCCGGCUAACUCCGUG
rnacentral:rRNA from 1 species